rnacentral:rRNA from 1 species
UUCGGAUUGUAGUCUGCAACCCGACUACAUGAAGCUGGAAUCGCUAGUAAUCGCGGAUCAGAAUGCCGCGGUGAAUACGUUCCCGGGACUUGUACACACCGCCCAUCACACCAUGGGAGUCGGAAAUGCCCGAAGUCUGUGACCCAACCUACGGGAGGGAGCAGCCGAAGGCAGGUCGGAUGACUGGGGUGAAGUCGUAACAAGGUAAC